GCCCAUAGGUUGGGUCGUGACAUUCACAUUACACAGCAAUCUCCUAUAUAACUCCUAAAAAGACGGACAUAUAAAUUAACUGGCUCAUGAUUCUAGGAUGAUUGUGGCAUAAGAACUACGUUACAACUAGCUUGUCCUUUAAAUGGAAUGUGAACAGGUCCUCUCUUGGGAAGCCAGGUGCCAAUGCUAUUGGUGGUGUGCUUCUACUCAUGAAAGGGGAAUUUCGUUGUAUCUUUUCCUAUCCUGUUUGGUGUAUGGACU
rnacentral:misc_RNA from 1 species